AAGGCUCAAGUUACUUUUACGGAAUGGAAAAUAGCCCGAGAGGAUGAGAGGCGCAGCUUCAGGAGCAGGUAGAUUCAAUGUGUACUCGGGAAACUGAACAGAGUUGAAGGAAAUGGGAAGGGAGGGGGAGAACGAGGUAAAUGAGUCAAAUGAAUGCAACUAUGAAUACAUGUUACAUGACUCAACUGUAAAUUAUACUAGUUUUAC
ensembl:ncRNA F55C12.10 ncRNA